UCUGCUGUGAAUUUUAACAUUUCCCAUACAAAGAUUGAGUGUAAACCUGCAGCUUAUUUUCCCCUCGGAAAGACUAAAAUGCUUUCAGGACUUCUCAGCUGCAUAAUUAGGAUCAUCUUGUCUGGGAUAUGAUCGCAAAAUGACAACAAGGUCAUCCUUUCUCUGCCAGAUUCCUGUCUUAAAGGAGUUCCAGCUCCAGACAUGCACGACUGUACGGGGAACUGGGUAACACUUCUGAGCAGCUUUCUGGACAGUUUAAAAGGUAGAGCAUUCCUAUUUUCCACUUGGAAAUAAAGAACUGUGGGGAUGGUUGCCACAGUCCCAAGAAGGAGAAUCAAAUAAGGCUCCCAGUUUGCAAUGGAAUGGAAACAUUCAAGUACGUGAGCACUUCAACCAGAUUGCAGCACAAACUGGGGCGCGGUAGGAGCUGAACUAAAUGGGCAGAGCUAUACAAUCAGCGACAGUGGUUUACAACAUGUGGCCUACAGGCUUCUAGGGAUCCACAGAGGACUUCCAAGGGCUGCAGAAGCUGUAACUAAGGAAAAAGCCAUUACCUUGUCCUUAUCCAACGGUCUGCAUCCCUCCUGCAAAGUUUAUAGGGAUAUAUAAGUGGGGACUGUUUGGAAAAACACUGCUUUUACACAAUUAACUAUUACAUGAAAGGAAAAGGAUAGUGUUUUUCAAUUAGCACUUCCAUGGACGUACUGUGACUCAGCUCCUAUUAACAUGCUACAUAACUUUUUUCAGAGUAGCUCUGCUUCAGCCAGCAUACGGAACAAGAGGUGGCCAUAUAAUGAGCAUGAUUGCAUGAUUGGUGUUCUGGUUGUUCACUGUGGCUGUGACUUUGCUGGGCUGUAUUCUUUUAUUUCAUUCUGAAGAAAGAAUCAUUUGUUCCUGAAAGUGUGUUUUUUACUGACACUCAAUAUUAUAAAAUUUGA